UGAGCGGAUGAACUGAGGGUAGCGGAGAAAUUCCAAUCGAACCUGGAGAUAGCUGGUUCUCUCCGAAAUAGCUUUAGGGCUAGCCUCAAGUGAUGAUUAUUGGAGGUAGAGCACUGUUUGGACGAGGGGCCCCUCUCGGGUUACCGAAUUCAGACAAACUCCGAAUGCCAAUUAAUUUAACUUGGGAGUCAGAACAUGGGUGAUAAGGUCCAUGUUCGAAAGGGAAACAGCCCAGACCACCAGCUAAGGUCCCAAAAUAUAUGUUAAGUGGAAAAGGAUGUGGCGUUGCCCAGACAACUAGGAUGUUGGCUUAGAAGCAGCCAUCAUUUAAAGAGUGCGUAAUAGCUCACUAGUCGAGUGACACUGCGCCGAAAAUGUACCGGGGCUAAACAUAUUACCGAAGCUGUGGAUUGUCCUUUGGACAAUGGUAGGAGAGCGUUCUAAGGGCGUUGAAGCAUGAUCGUAAGGACAUGUGGAGCGCUUAGAAGUGAGAAUGCCGGUGUGAGUAGCGAAAGAUGGGUGAGAAUCCCGUCCACCGAUUGACUAAGGUUUCCAGAGGAAGGCUCGUCCGCUCUGGGUUAGUCGGGUCCUAAGCUGAGGCCGACAGGCGUAGGCGAUGGAUAACAGGUUGAUAUUCCUGUACCACCUAUAAUCGUUUUAAUCGAUGGGGGGACGCAGUAGGAUAGGCGAAGCGUGCGAUUGGAUUGCACGUCUAAGCAGUAAGGCUGAGUAUUAGGCAAAUCCGGUACUCGUUAAGGCUGAGCUGUGAUGGGGAGAAGACAUUGUGUCUUCGAGUCGUUGAUUUCACACUGCCGAGAAAAGCCUCUAGAUAGAAAAUAGGUGCCCGUACCGCAAACCGACACAGGUAGUCAAGAUGAGAAUUCUAAGGUGAGCGAGCGAACUCUCGUUAAGGAACUCGGCAAAAUGACCCCGUAACUUCGGGAGAAGGGGUGCUCUUUAGGGUUAACGCCCAGAAGAGCCGCAGUGAAUAGGCCCAAGCGACUGUUUAUCAAAAACACAGGUCUCUGCUAAACCGUAAGGUGAUGUAUAGGGGCUGACGCCUGCCCGGUGCUGGAAGGUUAAGAGGAGUGGUUAGCUUCUGCGAAGCUACGAAUCGAAGCCCCAGUAAACGGCGGCCGUAACUAUAACGGUCCUAAGGUAGCGAAAUUCCUUGUCGGGUAAGUUCCGACCCGCACGAAAGGCGUAACGAUUUGGGCACUGUCUCAACGAGAGACUCGGUGAAAUCAUAGUACCUGUGAAGAUGCAGGUUACCCGCGACAGGACGGAAAGACCCCGUGGAGCUUUACUGUAGCCUGAUAUUGAAAUUCGGCACAGCUUGUACAGGAUAGGUAGGAGCCUUUGAAACGUGAGCGCUAGCUUACGUGGAGGCGCUGGUGGGAUACUACCCUAGCUGUGUUGGCUUUCUAACCCGCACCACUUAUCGUGGUGGGAGACAGUGUCAGGCGGGCAGUUUGACUGGGGCGGUCGCCUCCUAAAAGGUAACGGAGGCGCUCAAAGGUUCCCUCAGAAUGGUUGGAAAUCAUUCAUAGAGUGUAAAGGCAUAAGGGAGCUUGACUGCGAGACCUACAAGUCGAGCAGGGUCGAAAGACGGACUUAGUGAUCCGGUGGUUCCGCAUGGAAGGGCCAUCGCUCAACGGAUAAAAGCUACCCCGGGGAUAACAGGCUUAUCUCCCCCAAGAGUUCACAUCGACGGGGAGGUUUGGCACCUCGAUGUCGGCUCAUCGCAUCCUGGGGCUGUAGUCGGUCCCAAGGGUUGGGCUGUUCGCCCAUUAAAGCGGUACGCGAGCUGGGUUCAGAACGUCGUGAGACAGUUCGGUCCCUAUCCGUCGUGGGCGUAGGAAAUUUGAGAGGAGCUGUCCUUAGUACGAGAGGACCGGGAUGGACAUACCUCUGGUGUACCAGUUGUCGUGCCAACGGCAUAGCUGGGUAGCUAUGUGUGGACGGGAUAAGUGCUGAAAGCAUCUAAGCAUGAAGCCCCCCUCAAGAUGAGAUUUCCCAACUUCGGUUAUAAGAUCCCUCAAAGAUGAUGAGGUUAAUAGGUUCGAGGUGGAAGCAUGGUGACAUGUGGAGCUGACGAAUACUAAUCGAUCGAAGACUUAAUCAA
rnacentral:rRNA from 1 species